AUUGAACGCUGGCGGCAGGCCUAAAACAUGCAAGUCGAACGAGUGGCGGACGGGGGAGUAAUGGCUGGGAAACUGCCUGAUGGAGGGGGAUAACUACUGGAAACGGUAGCUAAUACCGCAUACCAUCGGAUGUGCCCAGAUGGGAUUAGCUAGCAGGUGGGGUAAAGGCUCACCUAGGCGACGAUCCCUAGCUGGUCUGUGAGGAUGACCAGCCACACUGGAACUGGUACACGGUCCAUACUCCUACGGGAGGCAGCAGUGGGGAAUAUUGCACAAUGGGUGCAAGCCGGAUGCAGCCAUGCCGCGUGUAUGAAGAAGGCCUUCGGGUUUUAAAGUACUUUCAGCGGGGAGGCGUUACCCGCAGAAGAAGCACCGGCUAACUCCGUGCCAGCAGCCGCGGUAAUAC
rnacentral:rRNA from 1 species